CAAAGAACAGUUUAAUUUUAGAAUACUAGCUUUGGGAGUUAGUGGUAGGGGUUAGAGUCCCUUUUCUUUGA
rnacentral:tRNA from 1 species